rnacentral:lncRNA from 1 species
UCUGGGCUGCUUGCCCAAAAUGAGGAAACUGCUUGAGUUUGAUUUCUUUGUUGUCGUAGAUAGAGCAGUCAAGGAUAGAGCUGUCAAGAUCGAAGUUGCCAAAGAUGAAGUGUUUGAUAAGCGAACUAUUAAGUGCAAAAGUGGUUGCUGCCUAGUUGAUCUUCAAGCAUUCGAUCUCUUAAGCUAUGUGACCUUUUCGCAUUAAAGAGCUUACCCAGGUGGGUGUCGGGAAAUUAGUUUACCCUCUCGCACUGGAGUGCAAUUAGUUUAUCCUCUCCAUAUGGGUGUCGGGGAAUUGGUUUACCCUCUCGCACUGGAGAGUAAUUAGUUUAACCUCUCGCACUGGAUAACAGACCCUUUUGGGUGUCGGGGAAUUGGUUUACCCUCUCACACUGGAGAGCAAUUAGUUUAACCUCUCGCACUGGAGAGCUUACCCAUAUGGGUGUCGGGGAAUUGGUUUACCCUCUCGCACUGGAGAGCAAUUAGUUUAUCCUUUCGCACUGGAGAGCAGACCCAGAAAGGGUUUUGAGCAGUUGUUGUGGACAGCAGUUGAGCCAGAUUUAUGAAUAACUUCUUGAAUCUUCAUUGAGAAUAAAAAAAUAAAUCAACUGUGCUGGAAGGUAGAAACUGCAUAACAAACUGGAUAUUCUUCGGCUUGUGAAGCUUUGUUCGUCGAGCUGCUUGAGUCUUCGAACUUCUUUGGAAAAAAUCCAAACGUGGUUCAGGGGGUGAUGGGAACUUCCCCUGCUUGUGUAGGCCGUUUUGUUGACCUGUCAAGAUACUCG